CACAGCACAGACAUCCAAGGAGAGCAUUUCAGUGAAGCUCUAGAAUUGUUUCUUACUUAAGGUAUAGGAGGGAGGCAGGAGCAGAUGUGGCUGCAGAAGAGAAGAAAGCAAUGUGACCACAGAAACAGAGAUUGGAGUCAUACAGCUACCAGCCGAGAACACCGGCAGGCAGCUGCCAGAAGAUGGAAGAGGCAAGGAACAGAUUCUCCCCAAGACCAGAAGGAUCCAAUCCUGAUGACACCUUGAUUUUAUUCCUAUAUAACUCAUUUUGAAUUUAUACUUAAUUGUAAUUGUUCUGGUUUCCAGAACUGUAAAAACAAAACAAACAAAAAAACCCAAAAAACAUUUCUAUUGUCUUAAGCCACAAGGUUUGUGCUAAUUUGUUACAAUGGCAAUAGAUAACUAAUACAUGCAUAUUUAAAACUUCUUGGAAUUUUAAGCCUAAUAAAUGUCCAUUAUACAUUAAUACUGACUCUGUGAUAUAGGCAAACUACGGAAAAGUAAAGAUUAACACAGCUAAAGUGGUUCAAAUCGCUCUGAUGCCUCCUAACUGGCAAACAUAACUAGCAUCUUUUGUGAUCCAGUUUUCACAUUUUAUAUUGUUGACGGCAUUUCCCAACUGCUGUUAUAUCAUUUCAUUAAUAGUGUUCAUCAUUCUCACCCCAAAUUCUUCUGAAACAUGUAGCUGUUAUGAUUGACAAUUUUUAUGUAUUAGCUGUUUCUAUGUAAACAACAAAGCAAUGGGCACUGUAAGUUGUGAUUUUUUUCUAAAUGCCCCUUAAUAAUUGAUCUAAAUUUUCUGAGGGAACUGAUACUCUAGAAAUCACUCUAACCUAAGAUGGUACUGUGCUAAAAAUCCCUCAAGCAUAGAGACAUUCAAGAUAAAUUUAGAUUCUACUCACACCACCACAUUAAGGCAGAGAUAUUCUAGAAUGGUCUGUAAAUAACCAGGUGGCAUCCUUGUUAGUCUCCAUAGGAAUGCAGUAACCUGAGGCUAAUUGCUACUGCUCUUACAGCUUCAGCUAAGCCAUCUGUUUAAAGUUAAUCUUGAAAAAUGAAAAAUCAAUCAACAUUUUGCCUCUCAGAUCUCGCCUACAAAGAGAAUAUCUAAUAAUUUUUUCAAAUCAAUAAAUAUCAUGUACACACAAGAAUUAGAUAGCCAUGCAGUUAUAAAUAUGUGAAAAAGAAUUUUUUAAAUCUUCUUGGAACUUAUGCAAACAGAAAGAAAGGAGCAACAAUCAUGUGAACAUAUAUAUAUUCCAGUUACUGGCCCAAUGUUGAAUCUUGUUAAUAGCUUUUAAAGAUUACUGUAUGUUUAAAGAUUACUAUACGAAUGUAUAAAUGCCUUUAUAUUGUCCCUGCAAGCCACACAAAAGUAUAUCAGAAUCCAGAGCUUAGAUUACUCUCUGAACUUUCUAUUUCCAUUUGAAAUAGAUCUUUUCUAGCCAUGUGUUGCCAUUUUUAUUUUUCUAUAGUGGUACUAAUUCCCAGAUACUUUCUGCUAAGAUAUCCUUCCAAUAUUUCCCCAAUACUAUAUCCUCAUCAAAAUGAUUUUUUGUUACAAUCUAUUAUGUUAUUGGACAAUUACUGUGCCAAAAUCAUUCUGAAUAACUUCUAAUCACGUUAAUUGGAGUGCUUUCAAAAGGAAUAAAGCAUUUGGUGAAGUACUGUUUAUUAAACAUCUGUUUUGUAUAUGGCACUAUAGGGUGCUACAAAG
rnacentral:lncRNA from 10 species